CUACGGGAGGCUGCAGUGAGGAAUAUUGCACAAUGGGGGGAACCCUGAUGCAGCAACGCCGCGUGGAGGAUGACGCAUUUCGGUGUGUAAACUCCUUUUAUAUGUCAAGAAAAUGACGGUAGCAUAUGAAUAAGCACCGGCUAACUCCGUGCCAGCAGCCGCGGUAAUACGGAGGGUGCAAGCGUUACUCGGAAUCACUGGGCGGAAAGGACGCGUAGGCGGGCUUGUAAGUCAGGUGUGAAAUCCUACAGCUUAACUGUAGAACUGCACUUGAAACUACGAGCCUAGAGUAUGGGAGGGGCAGAUGGAAUUAGUGGUGUAGGGGUAAAAUCCGUAGAUAUCACUAGGAAUACCUAAAGCGAAGGCGAUCUACUGGAACAUAACUGACGCUAAGGCGUGAAAGCGUGGGGAGCAAACAGGAUUAGAUACCCCAGUAGUC
rnacentral:rRNA from 1 species